GAGUUUGAUCGUGGCUCAGAACGAACGUUGGCGGCGUGCUUAACACAUGCAAGUCGAACGAGAACGGUUUCUUCGGAGACCUAGUAAAGUGGCGCACGGGUGAGUAACGCGUAAGUAAUCUACCUUUGCAUUUGGAAUAACUACGGGAAGCUGUAGCUAAUACCAAAUACGUUUAUAUAGUUACGACUAUAUAAAGAAAGAUGGCCUCUUCUUGAAAGCUAUCGUGCAGAGAGGAGCUUGCGUACCAUUAGCUAGUUGGUAGGGUAAUGGCCUACCAAGGCAACGAUGGUUAGCGGGUCUGAGAGGAUGAUCCGCCACACUGGAACUGGAACACGGACCAGACUCCUACGGGAGGCAGCAGUGAGGAAUAUUGCGCAAUGGGGGAAACCCUGACGCAGCGACGCCGCGUGGAUGAUGAAGGCCUUAGGGUCGUAAAAUCCUGUCAGAUGGAGAAAUGAUGAAGGACAAUACCCUUAUGCUUGACGGUACCAUCAAAGGAAGCACCGGCUAACUCCGUGCCAGCA
rnacentral:rRNA from 1 species